rnacentral:lncRNA from 1 species
GAUUUUCUAUAUACCUAAAAUCUACAAUUUUCUUCGACCAAAUUUCAAAUUUGAAGUAUCACCCAUCACCGGAGAUUUAAUUUGAAAAUUUCGACAAAAUUGACGUGAAGGGGUCACUUUUGGUGGGCUAUUGGUGACGUCGGUAGGGUGUUUUUUUUGAUAGGCUAUUAUGAGGUUUUUCGAUGCUGAGUGGAUCAUUUUUUAGUGGACCACUUAUUUAUCGAAACAGUGAGCUACGGCGAUGGAGAUGGCUGCUUCGUUCUCCUCCAGUGCGAACAAAAUGUAUCACCCAUUAAUAGCAUAUGAAUUACCUAAUAAUUGAUGACGUCGGUGGGGUGAUUUUUUUGGUAGGCUAUUUGGGAUUUUUCGGUGGUGAGUGAGUCGCUUUUUAGUGACCGACAUUGGUUUAUCAAAAUAGUGAGUUCCGGUGAUGGGGAUGGCUGCUCCGUUCUCUUUCAAUGUGCACAAAAUGUAUCACCCAUUAAUAGCAUAUGAAUCACCCAAUAAUUAAAAUAAUAAUUGUAUCUACCAUAUGAAUCACCAUAAAACCAUAUGUAUCACCUAUUAAAAUCAUACAAACUGUAUUUAUCGUAUGAAUCACCAUAAUACCCAUAUAAUGACAUCAUAUUUAUCAUUCAUAUAAAUCACCAUUAAAGAAUAAACAUGUAUUAAUAACUAAAGGCUAAACACAUCGAUAGGCCCCUCAACUCGACAUCAUCUUUUACUUUAGCACCUUAAGUAGAUGUUGUUCACUUUAGACACCUAAACUAAGGUCUAACUGUAUCAUUUUGACACUUUUUACUGACUUGACAACUUAUCUGUUUUUCACCUCAACUAGGCGUGGGAACAACCUAAAAAUCAUAUUUUUUUAUUUUUUAUUCUUUUUAUUUCCUCCCCGUUCUUUUUCUUCUUCUUCUUCUUCUUCUUCUUCUCUUUCUACCAUUAACAAAUUAUCCAUCAUUAUUAAAUUGUUCAACAAAAAAAAAUAAGACCACUAGCAUUCUCUUAAAACACGUGACAUUUUCUUUUGCGUAAAAUCAGAAUCAAAAACGAAUUUUAAGUUCUUAAAAAAAUCAUCAAAAAAAAAGUCUUAUGAAACUUCGCUUUUCUUUCAAGAUUUUAUCCUAAUAUGUUAUUAUAUUAAUGCAGUUGAAAAAU